GACGAACGCUGGCGGCGUGCUUAACACAUGCAAGUCGAACGGAAAGGCCCUGCUUUUGUGGGGUGCUCGAGUGGCGAACGGGUGAGUAACACGUGAGUAACCUGCCCUUGACUUUGGGAUAACUUCAGGAAACUGGGGCUAAUACCGGAUAGGAGCUCCUGCCGCAUGGUGGGGGUUGGAAAGUUUCGGCGGUUGGGGAUGGACUCGCGGCUUAUCAGCUUGUUGGUGGGGUAGUGGCUUACCAAGGCUUUGACGGGUAGCCGGCCUGAGAGGGUGACCGGCCACAUUGGGACUGAGAUACGGCCCAGACUCCUACGGGAGGCAGCAGUGGGGAAUAUUGCACAAUGGGCGGAAGCCUGAUGCAGCAACGCCGCGUGCGGGAUGACGGCCUUCGGGUUGUAAACCGCUUUCGCCUGUGACGAAGCGUGAGUGACGGUAAUGGGUAAAGAAGCACCGGCCAACUACGUG
rnacentral:rRNA from 1 species